GAUGAACGCUGGCGGCGUGCCUAAUACAUGCAAGUCGAGCGAACGGACGAGAAGCUUGCUUCUCUGAUGUUAGCGGCGGACGGGUGAGUAACACGUGGAUAACCUACCUAUAAGACUGGGAUAACCUCGGGAAACCGUAGCUAAUACCGGAUAAUAUUUUGAACCGCAUGGUUCAAAAGUGAAAGACGGUCUUGCUGUCACUUAUAGAUGGAUCCGCGCUGCAUUAGCUAGUUGGUAAGGUAACGGCUUACCAAGGCAACGAUGCAUAGCCGACCUGAGAGGGUGAUCGGCCACACUGGAACUGAGACACGGUCCAGACUCCUACGGGAGGCAGCAGUAGGGAAUCUUCCGCAAUGGGCGAAAGCCUGACGGAGCAACGCCGCGUGAGUGAUGAAGGUCUUCGGAUCGUAAAACUCUGUUAUUAGGGAAGAACAUAUGUGUAAGUAACUGUGCACAUCUUGACGGUACCUAAUCAGAAAGCCACGGCUAACUACGUG
rnacentral:rRNA from 1 species